UCUCUCCUUCGGGGCAGGGUGUAAUUCCCGACCGGCGGUAUAGCCCGCGAGCCGCAUAUAAGCGGUUGAUCUGGUGAAAUUCCAGGGCCGACAGUAUAGUCUGGAUGGUAGAAGGAUAGC
rnacentral:ncRNA from 2 species